UGGGGAAUUUUGGACAAUGGGCGAAAGCCUGAUCCAGCAAUGCCGCGUGUGUGAAGAAGGCCUUCGGGUUGUAAAGCACUUUUGUCCGGAAAGAAAUCCUUGGCUCUAAUACAGUCGGGGGAUGACGGUACCGGAAGAAUAAGCACCGGCUAACUACGUGCCAGCAGCCGCGGUAAUACGUAGGGUGCAAGCGUUAAUCGGAAUUACUGGGCGUAAAGCGUGCGCAGGCGGUUUGCUAAGACCGAUGUGAAAUCCCCGGGCUCAACCUGGGAACUGCAUUGGUGACUGGCAGGCUAGAGUAUGGCAGAGGGGGGUAGAAUUCCACGUGUAGCAGUGAAAUGCGUAGAGAUGUGGAGGAAUACCGAUGGCGAAGGCAGCCCCCUGGGCCAAUACUGACGCUCAUGCACGAAAGCGUGGGGGAGCAAACAGGAUUAGAUACCCUGGUAGUCCACGCCCUAAACGAUGUCAACUAGUUGUUGGGGAUUCAUUUCCUAGUAACGUACUAACGCGUGAAGUUGACCGCCUGGGGAGUACGGUCGCAAGAUUAAAACUCAAAGGAAUUGACGGGGUCAUAGCUGUUUCCU
rnacentral:rRNA from 1 species